UACAUAAAACUGUACUUUGGUGAUGUCUCACCCUAUAACUCCCUCUCUGGCCUAACCUAUUUUUACAUUUAAACAAAGUGUUUCAAGAAAUCCCCUUUCGGUAGUUAUGUAAAACAAGCCUGGAUGUUUUAUUUUAUAUUGUGAUACUGUGAUCUUUUUGAUAUCCCAGACUUACAAACAGAUAAAGUGAACCAAAUUUAGCAACUUAGCGAGUGUAAACUGAGACACACAUUCAGACUUAGAGGUGACAGUCUACAAAACUUCAUUAAAAAAACUAAGAAGAAAAUGACAACAAAAGCAACAAAAAAGAAAUCCACCUGCUAACAAAUGGAAAAACACUGAUGCCUAAAUAUAACUUAACUCACCUUGGAUGGCGUGUAGGAGAAAGACAGUUCACCACCUCAUCGAAUUAAAAUCCAUUGGUUUUGAUGCCAUCUGGAGUUUAGCGGAGUGGAGGUGGAUCACAUCAGUCUGACACGGAAAUGACAGCUGACAGCAGCCAAACAAGGAACAGUUGCAUAGUUUGACAACAAGAUGGCUCACAGAGGUGGCGUUGAGGGGCAAAUACGUACGUGUCACCCAGCUCCCAGCUGCGUGGACGGACCUCAGCCCUGUGAUGCUGUCGGCGGCGCUGAUAACCACAAUCACUCUGCUCACGUACCAUGAUUAGCGCGGGGACAAGAUGUCAUGUCACUCUGCUCGCGCUGAGGAGCCGAUGCUGUCGACGAGCCGCGUCCACACACCCAGAGGUCUCACGCAUGCGAGCUGAUGCUCUGCACCAUCGGCUUUAAGCAAACAAAAGUCACACUUGGCAUCAAGCUGCAUUAUCUCACAAAAACAAAGACGGUCAAACCCAAAGUUGUUCCAAAAACCAGCUGGUGAGAAAAGUACAGUAUCUUACAGUCACUUCCAGGAAGAUAAAUAGAAUUGAUGUAUUAAUAACCUAAAUGUGUGAUCACUGUUUGACAUUUAAUUCACAUAGGCUUGUAAAUGUUACCAUGGCACCUGGAUCAGUUGGACUCUAGCUAUAAAUUCCACUGAGGGUAAUUCUCUACCUAAUUAUAUGCAGAGCAGAGAUGGGUUUAAAACAACCUGUAGUUACUGAACCGUUAUCUUCUUACUCGAUGAUUUAGACAUUCUCAUAAUAUGUCUGGCACAUUGUCAGUGUUUCCAGAGUCCUAUUGCCUUGAUUGCACUCACACACUGAUGCCAUCUCAGCAGCAGCAGGAAUAUUUGACUCCAUCUCAUCAGCGGCGGCUUCACGUGUGCGUAAAGGAGACCGUGUCUCCUGUCCCAGGUAAUGACCCGGUGAUAUUUAGAAAUGCCAGCACAUUACUUAAAGGUUCAGGUGCACAAUAGACAGGAUGCUGUAACCUCCACGGUGUUGUUUAUUCCCCCGCACGCUCUGUGGUGUUUGGCCUUAAAUCUUCCAUCAGGUGCAGCCUGACCCGCGUGUUCAGACAGUUGGAGAGGUUGACAGUAACUGGGAGCCGUGCCAUGACGCUGCCCGCUCUGAGAUAGCUCCUGCCUUAUCUCCAACCUGCUGACACAUCUACAGCAAGGCAUUCAUUUAAUCCCAUCUGUGGCCACAUAAACAUGAACUCCACCGUAAAGAACAUGAUAUACUGACACGAAGAAAUGCCAAUUAUUCAUGUAGUGGAAAUACCUUGUCGACUUUUCACACGAACACACACACACACACACACACACACACACACUCGCAAGCACGUAAAGGCCAAAGAACAUGACAGAAAGAAACUGAGAAAUGAUUAUUGGCCCAGUGUUUAGAAUGCAGCCUGUCUCUGCGCAGGUCAGGCUCAGCCAGAUGCUCAUGAAUACAGUUGUAAGACCUCCAUGGGAAGUUGUUUGCGAUGAAGUUUUGCACAGCUCAAGGUCACUUCCUGUUAAGUUUCCCUUGGUCACAUACUUGCUGUCAAGCUACUGCUUACCUCGCUGACCCCCCUGUUCUGGCUGCGGCAAACAAACAUGACACUGACUGUGUUUCAUUUUUUAUUCCAUUGAAUCGGCAUUUUUGUUCUACUCUGGGCCACUUUACUUUCCUAAAUACUUUACCGUCCUUGGAUUUUUGUCCACUAAUAGAGGUGGUGGAAGCACAUCCCAUUUGUUCAAAAUGUGACUCAUACAUAGGGUUUUUUUCAGAAAACAAAUAUGUUCAGUAUUAAAUUUGAUUAAAGUGCAGAGGAGAGUUCAAACGGCUUCAAAAACUUUAUAUCUGAACCUUCUAAUAACCUUAAAACCUUCCCAAAAGUUGACUUUUUAAUAGCGGCAACGAAAAGGCUACUUGAACGGCUCCAUCAAUAAAAUGAUCACAAACACAUAACGUGGAAAUAAUUGUACCCUUAAAGUCUAUAAACAGAAUCGCACAUUCCCACAUCAGUCGCUCAAGCAGCUAUGAUCCGUCAGCUGCAGCAUGAAACCACCAGCAGCAUGAGUGCGUUCAUAAAUGGGUAAAAGAGGAGAAAACCGUUUAAAAGGCUCAAUGUACAGAUCUCAGGUGAAACAGAGAGGGUCAUUUUAUCUCAUUGGAAAUAGCACCGGCUCAAAAUAGAUGAGAAUAGAUGCUUUUGUGGAUCAGUAGUAAUUAGCAACGAAGUUUUUCCAAGCCGUAAUUAACCUGUGUCCGCUCUCAUCCUUCAUCCUCGCUGAAAGUUCUGUACAAUAAGAGUUUCACAAGUAAAACGGCAGAGGAUGGCGACCACAAGUAGGAGAACUACUUGUGAUCAUUAGAAUGAGAACAGCUGCUUACGACAAAAUAAACACAUUAACACCAAUGCUCCACAGUGUGCAAUCACAGGCCCAAA